UUGGUGAAGAGAAAGAAAACAAACUGUGUAACUCAGUGGAGGAAGUCCAUAAAUAUUUGUUAAAUAGUGUGGAAUUUUAUGUAAGAAGAGAUAGGAACCAGAGAGAUCAUGUGAGUUCCUCAAGCUAUCGGAAGAAAUAUCACUCCUUAUUGUGAAAACAAUAUGUAACUCUGUUUAUUGAAAGGACCCUCGUGAAUGCCUUAGGAAGCUAAGUAAUGCAAGUCACUCUCUGAGCUGUCACUUCAUCAGAGGAUGCUUUGGUUGCGGAAUGGAGCAGAUGUUCUGCUACAUUUGUGUACUUUAAACACCCUGAAAGCAUAAAGCCAGACUAAGAGCACUUGUUGGUGAAUGGAAGAUGCAAGUAAAGAUGAAAAGGCUAGAGCCACAGGAAGAAUGACAGCCGCCAGCAGGUUGUGGAGACCAUUUGGCUGGAAUACAUUUAAAGGACCCAAAUGGUAAUGGUAACAAUGUCUUGCACAAUAGCCAG